UCUUAGUGGCGGACGGGUGAGUAACGCGUGGGUAACCUGCCCUGUACAGGGGGAUAACACUUAGAAAUAGGUGCUAAAACCGCAUAAGCGCACAGUACCGCAUGGUACAGUGUGAAAAACUCCGGUGGUACAGGAUGGACCCGCGUCUGAUUAGCUGGUUGAAGGGGUAACGGCCCACCAAGGCGACGAUCAGUAGCCGGCCUGAGAGGGCGGACGGCCACACUGGGACUGAGACACGGCCCAGACUCCUACGGAAGGCAGCAG
rnacentral:rRNA from 1 species